ACGGAGUGGUUGGGGCUAGAUCUA
rnacentral:piRNA from 1 species